GAUGAACGCUAGCGGCAGGCUUAACACAUGCAAGUCGAGGGGCAGCGCGAUGUAGCAAUACAUUGGCGGCGACCGGCGCACGGGUGCGUAACACGUAUGGAACUUACCCUUUACUGGGAGAUAGCCCGGAGAAAUCCGGAUUAAUAUCCCAUAAUAAACGAAGUGGCAUCACUUUGUUUUGAAAGCUCCGGCGGUAAAGGAUGGCCAUGCGCACGAUUAGCUAGUAGGUGAGGUAACGGCUCACCUAGGCUACGAUCGUUAGGGGGCCUGAGAGGGUUAUCCCCCACACUGGUACUGAGACACGGACCAGACUCCUACGGGAGGCAGCAGUGAGGAAUAUUGCGCAAUGGAGGCAACUCUGACGCAGCCAUGCCGCGUGCAGGAAGAAGGCGCUACGCGUUGUAAACUGCUUUUAACCGGGAAGAAACCCUCCGACGUGUCGGAGGUUGACGGUACCGGAGGAAUAAGCACCGGCUAACUUCGUGCCAGCAGCCGCGGU
rnacentral:rRNA from 1 species